rnacentral:rRNA from 1 species
AACGAACGCUGGCGGCAUGCCUAACACAUGCAAGUCGAACGAGACCUUCGGGUCUAGUGGCGCACGGGUGCGUAACGCGUGGGAACCUGCCCUUAGGUUCGGAAUAACUCCCCGAAAGGGGUGCUAAUACCGGAUAAUGUCUUCGGACCAAAGAUUUAUCGCCUUUGGAUGGGCCCGCGUUGGAUUAGCUAGUUGGUAGGGUAAAAGCCUACCAAGGCGACGAUCCAUAGCUGGUCUGAGAGGAUGAUCAGCCACACUGGGACUGGGACACGGCCCAGACUCCUACGGGAGGCAGCAGUGGGGAAUAUUGGACAAUGGGCGAAAGCCUGAUCCAGCAAUGCCGCGUGAGUGAUGAAGGCCGUAGGGUUGUAAAGCUCUUUUACCCGGGAUGAUAAUGACGGUACCGGGAGAAUAAGCUCCGGCUAACUCCGUG